CCACACUGCUAACCGUAACCUUAAACUACAACCAAAAAGCACAUUUUUGUUUGUAUGCAUUUUUAAGAUCUAGCCCAUUUCAGCUUUGUGGCUGUGGUAACUAAUGAUAACCGCCAGCUGGUUUCAUUUCUCCCCCUUCCUACGUGUAUAAAGAACUUUCGCGGGGUCAUUUUUGCCGCGAAUGUUCCAUGCAAAGGAAGAGCAGAGCAGUCUUUUCUUUAUUUUUUCUCCGAUACCGGUUAUUGCCAGACAUGCACACUGCAGCUCAGGAUAUGGUAAUACUGUAGCCUAGCUUCCAUUGUCAACAAAGCCGUUGCCUUUGUACUGACUACCACCGGGUUGGAGAACCACGGGCUUCUACCCCGAUACUCUCUGAUGACGUCUCUCCAACCUGGCUAUUCUGAUUGGCGGACUGAACGAAAAGGGGACGUCCCGUAUUCAUACAAUGGUAGUAAGAGUAAGAAAAAAUGGCAAGGCCCAAAUGUUGAAAUUGUGCAAAAUUAUAUAAUUGUAUUUUAUUCGCAUUUUGAUAAUGCGUUUGCUCGACGAUUUAUGGAAACACUGUCGAAAGCUUGUGCGUACUCUCCCGUUGGCGACCGCGGUUGAUCGGCGCGAACUUUAUUGCCAGUUCUUGACUACAUUGGCCGACCAGGGAAAAUCAGUCGUGGGCUAUAAAGGGCCUCGAGCACGACUGAAAAACCUCCUGACCAUAUGGAUAUCACUAGUGCUAGACUUGGACUGAAAUAAGUUCGAGUAGAGACCACCCCCCAGGCCGUGGCCAUGGUACCCACGUAAGCCCUGGGGUGGUACA